rnacentral:rRNA from 1 species
ACGAAUGCUGGCGGCAUGCCUAACACAUGCAAGUCGAACGAGACCUUCGGGUCUAGUGGCGCACGGGUGCGUAACGCGUGGGAACCUGCCCUUAGGUUCGGAAUAACUCCCCGAAAGGGGUGCUAAUACCGGAUAAUGUCUUCGGACCAAAGAUUUAUCGCCUUUGGAUGGGCCCGCGUUGGAUUAGCUAGUUGGUAGGGUAAAAGCCUACCAAGGCGACGAUCCAUAGCUGGUCUGAGAGGAUGAUCAGCCACACUGGGACUGAGACACGGCCCAGACUCCUACGGGAGGCAGCAGUGGGGAAUAUUGGACAAUGGGCGAAAGCCUGAUCCAGCAAUGCCGCGUGAGUGAUGAAGGCCUUAGGGUUGUAAAGCUCUUUUACCCGGGAUGAUAAUGACAGUACCGGGAGAAUAAGCUCCGGCUAACUCCGUG